CACCAGGCCCGGCUAAUUUUGAAUUUUUAGUAAAAACAGGGUUUCUCCAUAUCGGUCAGUCUGGUUUCAAACUCCUGACCUCAGGUGAUCUGCCUGCCUCGGCCUCUGAAACUGCUGGGAUUAUAGGCGUCAGCUACUGCCUCCGGCCUUGAAUGGGCCCUUUUAAGUGCAUUAAAGUGGAAGAUGAAUUGAAACAAAGGGCCAAAACUAGGAAAUUAAAGUAACUAUGAAUAUUAAGUGUGUUAAUGUAUGUGUUUUUAUUUAUAAGUUUUAUGCAUUAUUUCUCUGCAUAGCUUUGGAAAGGUCUUUUUAAAAGCCUCCUUAGUGUUCUCUCUGCUGCCCUCUGCUGCUAAUUUUCAGAAAUUAAUUUCGAUUCCGAUUAAUGCUUAAUUCUUCAUAAUCUCAUUCAAGUUUAAAGUUUGAUGGUACUCUAGACAUAAUUUAAUCCCACAUUCUCAAUUUACAGAUGAGAAGUUGAGUCUCUGAGAGGUUAAGAACAUGAACUUGGGCUCUGUUUCCUGACUGCUGGCGAUUUUGGACCCAUUACUCAAUUUUGUCAUCUGUAAAACGAGCAUAAUAACGAGUUUUUAUGAUGAUCAAUUAAUUUAGUACACAAAAAGCACUUAGAACAUUAUCUGGGUUGUAGCUAAUACUAUGUUAGUGAUUUUACAGAUUUGGCAAUAACUAAACUAAAACCACUGCUAGUGACAAAAUCAGAGCUAGAACUCUGUUCUCUUAAAUACUAGUGCAUGCUCUCUGUCUCUGUCUCUCUCUCUCUCUCUCUCUCUCUCUCCUUCUCUCUCUCUUCAUACAUAUAUGUGUGCAUGUGUGUUUACGGACACACACAUAUAUAUAUACACAUACUAUGUACUCACAAAAAUUAACAAUGAUUUUUUAAAAAAAUGAUAGGAAUAAUAGACAAUGGAUACUAUUAGAGGAAGGAAGGUGUAAGGUGGGGGUAAAUGUUGAAAAAAUACCCACUGCGUACUAUGCUCACUACCUGAAUUAUGGGAUCAUUUGUAUCCCAAACCCCUGAGACACACAAUUUACCCAUAUAACAAAGCUGUGCAUGUAUCGCCUGACCUAAAGUAAAAGUUGAGAAAUAAAAAGAAAACAGGCUACUUUUAAUCUUUGCUUUUUUUGCUAUAACAUUCCAACCUCCACAUCCCUCACACUACAUAUAUGGAUGCAUCAGACCACCUAAAACAGUCAUAUAUUAAAUCAUAUUAACAUAUUUUAAAGUAGCAUUCUCUGUUGUAAAUAUUUAUAACUACUUGUUAAUUGCAUCACAAACAUUUUUCAUUCUGGAUACUUAUUUCAUAUAUUU
rnacentral:lncRNA from 1 species